AAAGUCGUAACAAGGUUUCCGUAGGUAAACCUGCGGAAGGAUCAUUAAUGAUUUUAUAGCGAGUCGAGCGUUAAGCGAGACUUGCGAAAAUAUUUAAAACCCCACUCUUUUUAACUUUAAAAAAAUAAAUCAUGAUACAUGAAUUUAAAAAAAAAGAUCACUUUCAACAACGGAUCUCUUGGCUCUC
rnacentral:misc_RNA from 1 species